UACGUAGGGGGCAAGCGUUGUCCGGAUUUAUUGGGCGUAAAGCGCGUGUAGGCGGCUAGGUAGGUCCGUUGUGAAAACUCGAGGCUCAACCUCGAGACGUCGAUGGAAACCAUCUAGCUAGAGUCCGGAAGAGGAGAGUGGAAUUCCUGGUGUAGCGGUGAAAUGCGCAGAUAUCAGGAAGAACACCCGUGGCGAAGGCGGCUCUCUGGUACGUGACUGACGCUGAGACGCGAAAGCGUGGGGAGCGAACAGG
rnacentral:rRNA from 1 species